UGUAUUGUUUAACAAACAGAGUUUUAGUUUCCCAAUUUGAAUGUUAUGUUAAUUUAAUUUGAUUUGAUAUGUAACAUUUGAUCAUGUCCCUUUUGUAACAAAGUCAAAAGGAGAAGUUUGUUAAUGAUUUAGAUUUAGAUUAGAAGCCUUAAGCGAAUGGUCUAGAUUAUUGAUUUAGCUGAAGGAAAUAAUUGUAGUAGUUUGUUGGAAUUUUAUGGUCUCAACAUAUUAUGUAGGAAUGGCAUACAUCACUGGAGUAAUUAAUGACAGGCUGGAGUCUCUGGCACAAACUGUCUGAUCACGCCCAGGAAGAACUUCACUUAUACUCUUCAGGUGAAAGAUCAGAUUGGUAGCUAUUUCUACUUCCCGUCAUUUUGAAUGAAUAAAGCCGCUGUUGCAUUUGGUAGCUUCAGAAUUUGGAGCCGUGCUCACAUUCAGAUUCCUGUCCCCUUUCCUCCCUCCGCAGGAGACUUUACCAUACUUGCUGGUGAUUGGUUCAAGCUAGGCCACCGUAGACUGAGACGAGUCCUCGAGAAUGGUCACAAUCUUCCCUUCCCUGAUUGCCUUCUUAUCAAUGGUCGUGGUUGGAAUGGAAACACAUUCACUGUCAAUCAAGGAGUGCAGGUAAGACAUAUGGAUUCAGAAUAUCAAAUGUGGGGCUCGCAGCAUCCAUCAACUUCAUAAUCCAAGGACACUCAUUGAAACUUGUGGAAGUAGAAGGAUCUCAUACCCUCCAAAACACUUAUUCUUCACUCGACAUCCAUAUCGGACAGUCCUAUUCUGUGCUGGUCACAGCUAAUCAGUCUGUCAAGGAUUACUACGCAGUUGUUUCUACGCUGUUCACCAGGUGGAACCUGACAGCAAGUGGACCAAGACCAAACCCUCAAUGAUCUUACCACUAUGGAUUGAUCGACCCCACUCGAACCAUCAUGCUUGCAAACUCUGCUCCUUAAGCAAUGAUAUGCUGUCAACAAUGUAUCGUAUAUUGCGCCGGAUACCCUGUUGUAACUUGUUGCCUACAUCAUUCCCGGAGUUUUCUAUGUUGGAGGCAUUUCUAAUUAUGCUAUCAUGGGUGCUAAUUUCCAUGAAUAUGUGGAGUUUGUGGUCCAAAAUAGGGAGAAUUUUGUGCAGUCAUGGCACAUUGACGGCAAUUUAUUCUUUGUGAGCUUAGUGAGCUUGUAACUACUAUUGUUUUGCAGGAGGUUGUGGGAGACAGGUGGGUUUGGAAGUUAAAUUCGACCAAACGAUACUUGGUGAGUAGUGCGUGCGACUUCUUGACUACUACGGAUAUUAAUGUUACAUCUGAACAUAGUUACAAUGUUUGUUAAAAGCGGUUACUUUCUUAGCAUAUGUUUAUUAACCACAUACCGACUAAAGACAACUUUCUUAGGAGCGGGAGUGAUUGAUAACAACGACUGUCUUUGCAUUGGAGGGCAUGAAAGGAAUGAAGAUAGGGACCAUUUAUUUUCCAGAUACGAUUUUUUUGGCAGGUUAUGGUCUUUGGUGGCAAAUUGGUUGGCCUAUGAGUCAAUAUCACACGGUUUUCUUCAUGAAUGAACGUUAUCUGCAGUUUGGUGCUUUAGGUGGUUUUUCUAAAAAGGGAGGGGCUUCCAUUGAAUAUUAUCUGGCUUUCUACGGUUUGGAUAAUUUGUAAUGAACACAGUGAUCAUAUUUUUCAACAUAAGGACGAAAACUUGCAAACUUUAUGCGAGAAGAUUAAGCUGCAGUCUUAUUGGUGGCUGAAAUUAAAAUACGUUACAUUUGAUUUUGAUUAUCAUUAUCGUCGGCUUCAUCCUCAACAAUGUUUGUUGUUUGUAUUUUAGCUGAUUUGUUUGUCGUGUUUUUGUUCCUUCACUUUUUCUUGAAUUGUUGUAACUCUUUUGUAUUCUUUUCUGGCACGGGUUGUGUUAGAAAGA